CCUACGGGAGGCAGCAGUAGGGAAUUUUCCGCAAUGGGCGAAAGCCUGACGGAGCAAUACCGCGUGAGGGAUGACGGCCUGUGGGUUGUAAACCUCUUUUCCCAAGGAAGAAGUUCUGACGGUACUUGAGGAAUAAGCAUCGGCUAACUCUGUGCCAGCAGCCGCGGUAAUACAGAGGAUGCAAGCGUUAUCCGGAAUCACUGGGCAUAAAGCGUCUGUAGGUUGUUUAGUAAGUCUGCUGUUAAAGACUGGGGCUUAACCCCAGAAAAGCAGUGGAAACUGCUAGACUCGAGUGUGGUAGAGGUAGAGGGAAUUCCUAGUGUAGCGGUGAAAUGCGUAGAUAUUAGGAAGAACACCAAUGGCGAAGGCACUCUACUGGGCCAUAACUGACACUGAGAGACGACAGCUAGGGGAGCAAACGGGAUUAGAUACCCCGGUAGUCCUAGCCGUAAACGAUGGAUACUAGAUGUUGCACGUAUUAACCCGUGCAGUAUCGUAGCUAAGGCGUUAAGUAUCCCGCCUGGGAAAGUCGCUCGCAAGAGAGAACACAANAGAUAGACGCGUGAGAGUGCGACGACGACGACGAGGGAGAGG
rnacentral:rRNA from 1 species